rnacentral:rRNA from 1 species
GACGAACGCUGGCGGCGUGCCUAACACAUGCAAGUCGAACGGGAAGGCCCUGCUUAGGUGGGGUGCUCGAGUGGCGAACGGGUGAGUAACACGUGAGUAACCUGCCAUUGACUUUGGGAUAACUUCAGGAAACUGGGGCUAAUACCGGAUAGGAGCUCUUGCUGCAUGGUGGGGGUUGGAAAGUUUCGGCGGUUGGGGUUGGACUCGCGGCUUAUCAGCUUGUUGGUGGGGUAGUGGCUUACCAAGGCUUUGACAGGUAGCCGGGCUGAGAGGGUGACCGGCCACAUUGGGACUGAGAUACGGCACAGACUCCUACGGGAGGCAGCAGUGGAGAAGAUAGUACAAUGGGAGGAAGCCUGAUGCAGCGACGCCGCGUGCGGGAUGACGGCCUUCGGGUUGUAAACCGCUUUCCUUUGUGACGAAGCGUGAGUGACGGUAAUGGGUAAAGAAGCACCGGCUAACUACGUG